GCUGGAGUGGUGCAAUUGGUAGCACGUCGACUCUCGUAAAGCCCCCAAACGGAGUUGAGAGGAUGCGGGCCCACACGCCACAAAGGUCAUCGGAGAUCGAGGUUAAAAUCCUCGCGCUGGCA